ensembl:lncRNA
UGCAGAAAAGGAAGAAAGGUCGCCCCAGACCACAGUACUGAGACAGUCCUCUAUAUAGUACCACAGUCAGACCACAGUAUUGAGACAGUCCUCUAUAUAGUACCACAGUCAGACCACAGUACUGAGACAGUCCUCUAUAUAGUACCACAGUCAGACCACAGUAUUGAGACAGUCCUCUAUAUAGUACCACAGUCAGACCACAGUACUGAGACAGUCCUCUAUAUAGUACCACAGUCAGACCACAGUAUUGAGACAGUCCUCUAUAUAGUACCACAGUCAGACCACAGUACUGAGACAGUCCUCUAUAUAGUACCACAGUCAGACCACAGUACUGAGACAGUCCUCUAUAUAGUACCACAGUCAGACCACAGUAUUGAGACAGUCCUCUAUAUAGUACCACAGUCAGACCACAGUAUUGAGACAGUCCUCUAUAUAGUACCACAGUCAGACCACAGUACUGAGACAGUCCUCUAUAUAGUACCACAGUCAGACCACAGUAUUGAGACAGUCCUCUAUAUAGUACCACAGUCAGACCACAGUAUUGAGACAGUCCUCUAUAUAGUACCACAGUCAGACCACAGUACUGAGACAGUCCUCUAUAUAGUACCACAGUCAGACCACAGUAUUGAGACAGUCCUCUAUAUAGUACCACAGUCAGACCACAGUAUUGAGACAGUCCUCUAUAUAGUACCACAGUCAGACCACAGUAUUGAGACAGUCCUCUAUAUAGUGCCACAGUCAGACCACAGUAUUGAGACAGUCCUCUAUAUAGUACCACAGUCAGACCACAGUACUGAGACAGUCCUCUAUAUAGUACCACAGUCAGACCACAGUAUUGAGACAGUCCUCUAUAUAGUACCACAGUCAGACCACAGUACUGAGACAGUCCUCUAUAUAGUACCACAGUCAGACCACAGUAUUGAGACAGUCCUCUAUAUAGUACCACAGUCAGACCACAGUAUUGAGACAGUCCUCUAUAUAGUACCACAGUCAGACCACAGUAUUGAGACAGUCCUCUAUAUAGUACCACAGUCAGACCACAGUAUUGAGACAGUCCUCUAUAUAGUACCACAGUCAGACCACAGUAUUGAGACAGUCCUCUAUAUAGUACCACAGUCAGACCACAGUACUGAGACAGUCCUCUAUAUAGUACCACAGUCAGACCACAGUAUUGAGACAGUCCUCUAUAUAGUACCACAGUCAGACCACAGUACUGAGACAGUCCUCUAUAUAGUACCACAGUCAGACCACAGUACUGAGACAGUCCUCUAUAUAGUACCACAGUCAGACCACAGUAUUGAGACAGUCCUCUAUAUAGUACCACAGUCAGACCACAGUAUUGAGACAGUCCUCUAUAUAGUACCACAGUCAGACCACAGUAUUGAGACAGUCCUCUAUAUAGUGCCACAGUCAGACCACAGUACUGAGACAGUCCUCUAUAUAGUACCACAGUCAGACCACAGUAUUGAGACAGUCCUCUAUAUAGUACCACAGUCAGACCACAGUAUUGAGACAGUCCUCUAUAUAGUGCCACAGUCAGACCACAGUACUGAGACAGUCCUCUAUAUAGUACCACAGUCAGACCACAGUACUGAGACAGUCCUCUAUAUAGUACCACAGUCAGACCACAGUAUUGAGACAGUCCUCUAUAUAGUGCCACAGUCAGACACUGCACAGGGGCUUUUCAAAACAGACAGGAAACAGGGAGAACAAGCAGAAAACACAACAGUGAUUUUAAUUCCCCUCUUGCUUUUGUUGUAUUGUAGUAUUAGUGUUCUCUUAAGUUCUCUUUUAAUUCUCCUUUUGUCAAAAUGA